UAAUAGUUUAAUAUUUGAAAGUCCCAACUUAGUUGAGGGUAACUUUUGAAUUAGUCUCUUACCUCAUGUUCAUAAAAAACAUCUUCCAAUGACUUUCCUUCCAGGCCAUCACCUACAGCUUCAAACAAUGGCUUGUACUCCUUAAAAGGAACAAACAGAAACAUUGGUACUUCCAAGUGCAUUGUACAUGGAGGCUUUAUGGAAUGCUAUGGGCAAAAAUCAAGCAGGAGAGAAGAUCAUGUAUCCAUUUUGACUUUUUCUUGGUGUAUGGUGUGAGAUGUUGGUCUUUGCCUAGUUUCUGCCAUAUUAUUUUCCAGUUUUCUCAGUAUUUUUUGUCAAAUGGAAUUGAUGCAGAAUGAGAGGAGCAGAACCAGGAAAACACUGUACACAGAGACUGAUACACUGUGGUACAAUCGAAUGUAAUGGACUUCUCCAUUAGUGGCAAUGCAGUGACUCUGAAUAACUUGGAGGAACCUAUGAGGAAAACCACUAUCCAUAUCCAGAGGAAACACGGUGGGAGUAAAAACACCAAAGAAAAACAAUUGCUUGAAUACAUGGGUCGAAGGGAUAUGGUUGGGGAUGUAGACUCUAAAUGAACAUCGUAGUGUAAACAACAACAUAGAAAUAGAUUCUGAUCAAGGACACAAGUAAUACCCAAUGAAAUUGCAUAUUGGUUGUGGGAAGAAUGGGUGGAGGGGAGGGAGGGAAAUAAUGUGAUUAUUAUAACCAAGGAAUAAUGUUCUAAAUGGACUAAAUAAAUGAAUUCAAAUGGAAUACCAAAUAUUUUAAAAUACUUAUGGUUGUGGUAGCUUGGGGAGUAGGGGAGUCUCAUUUAGAUAUAAUACAUCAUAAUCUCUUUUUUUUUAAACCCAUACCUUCCAUCUUGGAAUCAAUAUUGUGUAUUAGUUCCAAGGCAGAAGAAUGGUAAGGGCUAGGCAAUGGGGGUUAAGUGACUUGCCCAGGGUCACACAGCUAGAAAGUGUCUGAUGAUAGAUUUGAACCUAAGACUUCCCAUCUCUAGGCCUGGUUCUCAAUCCACUGAGACACCCAGCUGCACCCCCUACAUGAUAAUCUUUACUAAAAGUCUAAGUAACAAUGGCAAACAAUUCAUGUAAGCUCUUUCUGAGGCAUCUAGAUAAUACAGUUGUGAGAGUAUUGUAGUCAGGAAGCCCUGAGUUUGAAUUCUAUUUCAGACACUGGGGGAAGUCACUUAACUUAUCAGUCUUGGUUUUCCCAUCUAUAAAAUGGGAAUAAGUAACUUCUAGCUCUUAUGGUUAUUUCUUACGACAAGUGCUUUUUAUACAUCCUACAAAUUUUAAUUAAGUGUCUCAUAUGUGUUAUAUACCAUCUAGGUAUCAUGAUAAACAUGAAACUGUCUCUGAUCCCAGGGAGCUUAUAAGUUAAGUGUGGUAGUACCAAUAUCUCCAUUUUACAGAUGAGGAAACUAGUAAGUUGUAUUAUGAACAGGACUUUAAAUACAGAAUUUCUUCUGCUAAAUUAGGUUGCCUCUAAUAUAUGUUAAUAUUUAUAAACAGUGAAAAAGAUAAAAGGACUUACUCUGAUUUUUUGCUUUUUAAUCAACCAUGAGGGACUAGUAAGACAACAAGGUUUAAUAAUUUAUGACAGCCAAAGAUCUACCUAGAUCUAAAUUUUCACUUACGUCAU